rnacentral:ncRNA from 2 species
CCUGCCGAGGGGCGCUGCAAACCCGGCCAUCGCAUGGCAAGGGAACAGGCUCGGUACGGAGUGCAACUGCAACGGCGCCCGGAAUUU